rnacentral:tRNA from 1 species
GCGGGUGUGGCGGAAUGGCAGACGCGAUGGCCUUAGGAGCCAUUGGGGAAACUCGUGGGGGUUCAAGUCCCCCCGCCCGCACCA